GCACCUACCGAUUGAAUGGUUCGGUGAAAAUCUCGGACUGCGGCUUGGAGGCCUUCGGGCAACCAAGCUGUGGAAAGUUGUUUAAACCUCAUCAUUUAGAGGAAGGUGAAGUCGUAACAAGGUUUCCGUAGGUGAACCUGCAGAAGGAUCAAGAUCGGACGAGCGUCGUGUGGGGAGAGAGAGUAUGUCGAGGUGGUCGCCCGACCAUUAAUUAAAAAAAAAAACAAACAAACAUGCAAGCCGCAGCAGUACCAACGCAUAUAACACGCGCUGGAC
rnacentral:misc_RNA from 1 species